GACGUAGGGCGCAAGCGUUGUCCGGAUUUAUUGGGCGUAAAGAGCUCGUAGGCGGCUUGUUGCGUCGACCGUGAAAACCCGUGGCUCAACUGCGGGCUUGCGGUCGAUACGGGACGGGCUAGAGUUCGGUAGGGGAGACUGGAAUUCCUGGUGUAGCGGUGAAAUGCGCAGAUAUCAGGAGGAACACCGAUAGCGAAGGCAGGUCUCUGGGCCGAUAUUGACGCUGAGGAGCGAAAGCGUGGGGAGCGAACAGG
rnacentral:rRNA from 1 species